UACGUAGGUGGCAAGCGUUGUCCGGAAUUAUUGGGCGUAAAGCGCGCGCAGGUGGUUUCUUAAGUCUGAUGUGAAAGCCCACGGCUCAACCGUGGAGGGUCAUUGGAAACUGGGGAACUUGAGUGCAGAAGAGGAAAGUGGAAUUCCAAGUGUAGCGGUGAAAUGCGUAGAUAUCGGGAGGAACACCCGUGGCGAAGGCGGCUCUCUGGCCUGUAACUGACGCUGAGGCGCGAAAGCUAGGGGAGCAAACAGG
rnacentral:rRNA from 1 species